rnacentral:rRNA from 1 species
CCUACGGGAGACAGCAGUAGGGAAUCUUCCACAAUGGGCGAAAGCCUGAUGGAGCAACGCCGCGUGGGUGUAGAAGGUCUUCGGAUCGUAAAACCCUGUUGUUAGAGAAGAAAGUGCGUGAGAGUAACUGUUCACGUUUCGACGGUAUCUAACCAGAAAGCCACGGCUAACUACGUGCCAGCAGCCGCGGUAAUACGUAGGUGGCAAGCGUUAUCCGGAUUUAUUGGGCGUAAAGGGAACGCAGGCGGUCUUUUAAGUCUGAUGUGAAAGCCUUCGGCUUAACCGGAGUAGUGCAUUGGAAACUGGGAGACUGGAGUGCAGAAGAGGAGAGUGGAACUCCAUGUGUAGCGGUGAAAUGCGUAGAUAUAUGGAAGAACACCAGUGGCGAAAGCGGCUCUCUGGUCUGUAACUGACGCUGAGGUUCGAAAGCGUGGGUAGCAAACAGGAUUAGAUACCCCGGUAGUC